rnacentral:rRNA from 1 species
AGCGAACGCUGGCGGCAGGCCUAACACAUGCAAGUCGAACGGAUCCUUCGGGAUUAGUGGCGGACGGGUGAGUAACACGUGGGAACGUGCCCUUUGGUUCGGAACAACUCAGGGAAACUUGAGCUAAUACCGGAUGUGCCCUUCGGGGGAAAGAUUUAUCGCCAUUAGAGCGGCCCGCGUCUGAUUAGCUAGUUGGUGAGGUAAAGGCUAAACAAGGCGACGAUCAGUAGCUGGUCUGAGAGGAUGAUCAGCCACAUUGGGACUGAGACACGGCCCAAACUCCUACGGGAGGCAGCAGUGGGGAAUCUUGCGCAAUGGGCGAAAGCCUGACGCAGCCAUGCCGCGUGAAUGAUGAAGGUCUUAGGAUUGUAAAAUUCUUUCCCCGGGGACGAUAAUGACGGUACCCGGAGAAGAAGCCCCGGCUAACUUCGUGCCAGCCGCCGCCGUAAAAC